rnacentral:misc_RNA from 1 species
AACGAUUUUCCACUCACUUGGCAGCGGUGGAAGCAGCAGCAGCUGCUACACGAGCCUGGACUUUCCUGGCGAACUCCACGGCGUCGUCCGCGUCCGGCACCACCCCCUUGGCCGCCUCGACCUCCACGAACCGCUCCGCCCACGCCGCCAGGAGCGGGGUCUUGCCGGCGUCCAGCAGCGCCACGCCGAACAACCUGCGGAGCGCCUCGAA